UACGUAGGGGGCUAGCGUUGUCCGGAUUUAUUGGGCGUAAAGAGCGUGUAGGCGGCCAUGUAGGUCCGGUGUGAAAACUCGAGGCUUAACCUCGAGAUGUCAUCGGAAACCAUUUGGCUAGAGUCCGGAAGAGGAGAGUGGAAUUCCUGGUGUAGUGGUGGAAUGCGUAGAGAUCCGGAGGAACACCAGCGGCGAAGGCGGCGGCCUGGACUGGUACUGACGCUCAGGAGCGAAAGCGUGGGGAGCGAUCCGG
rnacentral:rRNA from 1 species